rnacentral:rRNA from 1 species
GACGAACGCUGGCGGCGCGCUUAACACAUGCAAGUCGAGCGAAGCGGCGGACGGGUGAGUAACACGUGAGUAACCUGCCUUAGACAUUGGGAUAGCCUCGGGAAACCGGGAUUCAUACCAAAUGGUCUAAGAUGGACUCGCGUCCCAUUAGCUAGUUGGUGAGGUAACGGCCCACCAAGGCGACGAUGGGUAGCCGGCCUGAGAGGGUGAACGGCAAAAGUGGAACUGAGAAACGGUCCAAACGCUACGGGAGGCAGCAGGGGGGAAUAUUGCACAAGGGAGGGAACUCUGAGGAAGCGAGGCCGCGUGAACGAAGAAGGCUUUCGAGGCGUAAAGUUCUGUUAUAUGGGAAGCGGUACCAUAAGAAAAAGCCCCGGCUAACUACGUGCCAGCAGCCGCGGUAAUAC